AGCAGCGGGCAGUUUCCCAAAGGGAGUUCUCGUCCGAUCACUGAAGUUAAGCAACGUCGAGCGUGGAUAGUACUUGGAUGGGUGACCGCUUGGGAACACCACGUAACGUUGGUA
rnacentral:rRNA from 1 species